GGAAUAUUGGACAAUGGGCGCAAGCCUGAUCCAGCCAUGCCGCGUGUGUGAAGAAGGCCCUAGGGUUGUAAAGCACUUUAAGCAGGGAAGAAGGCUAUACGGUUAAUACCCGUGUAGAUUGACAUUACCUGCAGAAUAAGCACCGGCUAACUCCGUGCCAGCAGCCGCGGUAAUACGGAGGGUGCAAGCGUUAAUCGGAAUUACUGGGCGUAAAGCGCGCGUAGGCGGUCAAUCAAGCGAGGUGUGAAAUCCCCGGGCUUAACCUGGGAAUUGCACUUCGAACUAAUUGACUAGAGUGUAGAAGAGGGGUGUGGAAUUUCCGGUGUAGCGGUGAAAUGCGUAGAGAUCGGAAGGAACACCAGUGGCGAAAGCGACUUCCUGUACCAAUACUGACGCUCAGGUGCGAAAGCGUGGGGAGCAAAC
rnacentral:rRNA from 1 species